CUCAAGGUGUUCCUGGGCGAACAAGGCCAGUGGUUUGGAGAGAAUAAUAAUGAUGAUGGUGACAAAGUCUCAAUUGUCCACGAUUUGGAUAGUUCCGUGACCGGAUGGAUGGACAACGUUGUGUGCAGGGCAGGCAGCUAUCUGAUUCAUCACCCAAACUGCCUCAUUGUUCCAAGGUGGAAAGGAAUGCUAUGCGCUGAGAGAGAUGCACAGGUCUAUAUUCAAUCCUGGCGUCCUGGGAAUGUGACCUUAUCCAUUGCCAGUGCUGCAUACCAUUCCCAUUCUCUGAGGCUGCAGGGAAUCAACAAGGAGGGAUCCUGUUAACAAUACCAGCUUAUGACGAUGCUGGAAAAAGCCUGCUUUAUCCAAUGGGAUGGCUGAGCAUCGGAGAAGGUCGUGUUUUAUCCAACCAGUUUCAACAGGGGAAACUGGAUACAUUACAUACAUAUACCCAAAAUUUACCCUGUUGCAGGAGACAUUUAUUAUCAACAGUCAAGCGUAAAGCACUGCAUGGCAGCAUCUUCCCACAAACGAAUAUGGAAUGGGACUGAUGAUCAGCCACUCUUUUAUUUUUGGACGGUGUAUCAAGGCAAUAUUACCAUACUUAUUAUGAUGCUUUGGGUAUAAAGGAAAUCCCAAACCCUCUUGGAUUGCAAUCCAUAGCCAAGCUGCUCAUCAGACAUCUGCUUCUCUCCAAUAAUAUGUGCGUCUGAGACUGAGGGAAUAUAUGGAUGCUCAGCUGAUACGACAACAUUUAAAGACUGUGUUGGACUAAGGAAGGAUGUUAGUCUCAUACCCUGGAUAUGGGCAUAAUGGGACCUUCUGUGUCCAUUGCCUUAUCUGCAGAGAGGGAGCCUAUCUCCGACAUUCUUCUUGUUAUCAGGAAACAGCGUUUGUACAGUAGCUUAUUUUUACAAUGAAUAAAAAA